rnacentral:rRNA from 1 species
ACGAACGCUGGCGGCGUGCUUAACACAUGCAAGUCGAACGGAAAGGCCCUGCUUUUGUGGGGUGCUCGAGUGGCGAACGGGUGAGUAACACGUGAGUAACCUGCCCUUGACUUUGGGAUAACUUCAGGAAACUGGGGCUAAUACCGGAUAGGAGCUCCUGCUGCAUGGUGGGGGUUGGAAAGUUUCGGCGGUUGGGGAUGGACUCGCGGCUUAUCAGCUUGUUGGCGGGGUAGUGGCUUACCAAGGCUUUGACGGGUAGCCGGCCUGAGAGGGUGACCGGCCACAUUGGGACUGAGAUACGGCCCAGACUCCUACGGGAGGCAGCAGUGGGGAAUAUUGCACAAUGGGCGGAAGACUGAUGCAGCAACGCCGCGUGCGGGAUGACGGCCUUCGGGUUGUAAACCGCUUUCGCCUGUGACGAAGCGUGAGUGACGGUAAUGGGUAAAGAAGCACCGGCUAACUACGUG